rnacentral:lncRNA from 1 species
GACACUAUUGCCUCUCUAGUCUCUAAUGGAUUUGACAAAAUGCCAGAUCUGGGAGAAUAAAAGGACAGGAAAUUCAGAAGGAGUCUCUGUCGCCCAGGCUGGAGCGCAACGGUGUGAUCUCGGCUCACUGCAAUCUCCGAAUCUCCGCCUCCCAGGUUCAAGCGAUUCUCCUGCCUGAGUCUCCCAAGUAGCUGAGACUACAGACGCCCACCACCACGCCCAGCUAAUUUUUGUAUUUUUAGUAGAGACAGGAUUUCACCAUAUUGGCCAGGCUGGUCUUGAACUCCUGACCUUGUGAUCAGCCCGCCUCGGCCUCCCAAAGUGCUGGGAUUACAGGCGUGAGCCACUGCACCCGGCCUAUGUAUUCGUUUCUUUUAAAAAAAAACCUAUGGAUACUAGUUAUGUCUACAUGACACAAAAAUUUUUGUCAAUACAGAAAAGUCUAUGGUAAUAUAAUUUAAGUUAGCUUGAGACUAUUGUUAAGAUUAAAAAAUAAUACUAAAGCUGAGAAUUUAAAAAUUAAAAUGAA